rnacentral:rRNA from 1 species
AGGGGGAAAGUGGGGGAUCGUAAGACCUCACGUUAUUCGAGCGGCCGACGUCUGAUUAGCUAGUUGGUGAGGUAAUGGCUCACCAAGGCGACGAUCAGUAGCGGGUCUGAGAGGAUGAUCCGCCACACUGGGACUGAGACACGGCCCAGACUCCUACGGGAGGCAGCAGUGGGGAAUUUUGGACAAUGGGGGCAACCCUGAUCCAGCCAUUCCGCGUGAGUGAAGAAGGCCUUCGGGUUGUAAAGCUCUUUCAGCAGGAACGAAACGGUAGAGGCUAAUACCCUCUGCUAAUGACGGUACCUGCAGAAGAGGCACCGGCUAACUACGUGCCAGCAGCCGCGGUAAUACGUAGGGUGCGAGCGUUAAUCGGAAUUACUGGGCGUAAAGCGUGCGCAGGCGGAUUGUUAAGCAAGACGUGAAAUCCCCGGGCUUAACCUGGGAAUGGCGUUUUGAACUGGCAGUCUAGAGUGUGUCAGAGGGGGGUGGAAUUCCACGUGUAGCAGUGAAAUGCGUAGAGAUGUGGAGGAACACCAAUGGCGAAGGCAGCCCCCUGGGAUAACACUGACGCUCAUGUACGAAAGCGUGGGUAGCAAACAGGAUUAGAUACCCUGGUAGUCCACGCCCUAAACGAUGUCAACUGGUUGUUGGGGGAGUGAAAUCCCUUAGUAACGAAGCUAACGCGUGAAGUUGACCGCCUGGGGAGUACGGUCGCAAGAUUAAAACUCAAAGGAAUCGACGGGGACCCGCACAAGCGGUGGAUGAUGUGGAUUAAUUCGAUGCAACGCGAAAAACCUUACCUACCCUUGACAUGUCCAGAAUCCUGCAGAGAUGCGGGAGUGCCCGAAAGGGAAUUGGAGCACAGGUGCUGCAUGGCUGUCGUCAGCUCGUGUCGUGAGAUGUUGGGUUAAGUCCCGCAACGAGCGCAACCCUUAUCAUUAGUUGCUACGCAAGGGCACUCUAAUGAGACUGCCGGUGACAAACCGGAGGAAGGUGGGGAUGACGUCAAGUCCUCAUGGCCCUUAUGGGUAGGGCUUCACACGUCAUACAAUGGUCGGUACAGAGGGUUGCCAAGCCGCGAGGUGGAGCCAAUCCCAGAAAGCCGAUCGUAGUCCGGAUUGUUCUCUGCAACUCGAGAGCAUGAAGUCGGAAUCGCUAGUAAUCGCGGAUCAGCAUGUCGCGGUGAAUACGUUCCCGGGUCUUGUACACACCGCCCGUCACACCAUGGGAGUGGAAUCUGCCAGAAGUAGGUAGCCUAACCGCAAGGA